rnacentral:rRNA from 1 species
CAAUAGCGUAUAUUAAAGUUGUUGCGGUUAAAAAGCUCGUAGUUGGAUUUCUGCUGAGGACGACCGGUCCGCCCUCUGGGUGAGUAUCUGGCUCGGCCUUGGCAUCUUCUUGGAGAACGUUGCUGCACUUGACUGUGUGGCGCGGUAUCCAGGACAUUUACUUUGAGGAAAUUAGAGUGUUUCAAGCAGGCAUACGCCUUGAAUACAUUAGCAUGGAAUAAUAAGAUAGGACCUCGGUUCUAUUUUGUUGGUUUCUAGAGCUGAGGUAAUGAUUAAUAGGGAUAGUUGGGGGCAUUCGUAUUUAACUGUCAGAGGUGAAAUUCUUGGAUUUGUUAAAGGCGGACUACUGCGAAAGCAUUUGCCAAGGAUGUUUUCAUUG